UAGGGAAUCUUCGGCAAUGGACGGAAGUCUGACCGAGCAACGCCGCGUGAGUGAAGAAGGUUUUCGGAUCGUAAAGCUCUGUUGUUAGAGAAGAACGUUGGUAGGAGUGGAAAAUCUACCAAGUGACGGUAACUAACCAGAAAGGGACGGCUAACUACGUGCCAGCAGCCGCGGUAAUACGUAGGUCCCGAGCGUUGUCCGGAUUUAUUGGGCGUAAAGCGAGCGCAGGGGGUUCUUUAAGUCUGAAGUUAAAGGCAGUGGCUUAACCAUUGUACGCUUUGGAAACUGGAGGACUUGAGGGCAGAAGGGGAGAGUGGAAUUCCAUGUGUAGAGGGGAAAUGCGUAGAUAUAUGGAGGAACACCGGUGGCGAAAGCGGCUCUCUGGUCUGUAACUGACGCUGAGGCUCGAAAGCGUGGGGAGCAAACAGG
rnacentral:rRNA from 1 species